rnacentral:rRNA from 1 species
GAUGAACGCUAGCUACAGGCUUAACACAUGCAAGUCGAGGGGCAGCAUGGUCUUAGCUUGCUAAGGCCGAUGGCGACCGGCGCACGGGUGAGUAACACGUAUCCAACCUGCCGUCUACUCUUGGACAGCCUUCUGAAAGGAAGAUUAAUACAAGAUGGCAUCAUGAGUUCACAUGUUCACAUGAUUAAAGGUAUUCCGGUAGACGAUGGGGAUGCGUUCCAUUAGAUAGUUGGCGGGGCAACGGCCCACCAAGGCGACGAUGCGUAGCCGGCCUGAGAGGGCGGACGGCCACACUGGGACUGAGACACGGCCCAG